GGAGGUAAGAGACUGUUCUAGUACAUCACUGGAGACAACAACAGAGGUAAGAGACUGUUCCAGUAUAUCACUGGAGGUAAGAGACUGUUCUAGUACAUCACUGGAGGUAAGAGAUUGUUCUAGUACAUUACUGGAGACAACAACGGAGGUAAGAGACUGUUCUAGUACAUCACUGGAGACAACAACAGAGGUAAGAGACUGUUCCAGUACAUCACUGGAGACAACAACGGAGGUAAGAGACUGUUCUAGUACAUCACUGGAGACAACAACGGAGGUAAGAGACUGUUCUAGUACAUCACUGGAGACAACAACAGAGGUAAGAGACUGUUCUAGUACAUCACUGGAGACAACAACAGAGGUAAGAGACU